UCCGGCAGCUAGCUCUCUGCAACUCUCACAUGGUUGUCCACUGAAGCUAAGCAGGGCUGCGCCCGGUCAGUACCUGGGAGACCACAUGGGAAAGCUAGAUUGCUGCCGGAA
rnacentral:rRNA from 1 species